AAGGCGCGAUAGCUGAUGCGAAUCGCACAUAUGUGAGUCAUCGAGUCUUUGAACGCAACUUGCACUUGGCCUCGUGCCGAGUAUGACUGUUUGAGCGCGGGCCGCCUUUGCGUAGAGGCUUUCUCUUGCGCGAUUGGCGCUCUGGCGAGUGCCGAAAAACAUUGCGUCACGGGUCGAGCAUUGGGGAGUUGACUUCGCUUCUCGACCCAGCAGCCCAGCAGCACACAACAACCUCCGCCUCAAAUCAGUCAAGACAACCCGCCGAACUUAA
rnacentral:misc_RNA from 1 species